CUUUGCUGGCGACCGGCGCACGGGUGAGUAACACGUAUCCAACCUGCCCUUUACUCGGGGAUAGCCUUUCGAAAGAAAGAUUAAUACCCGAUAGUAUAAUGAUUCCGCAUGGUUUCAUUAUUAAAGGAUUCCGUAAAGGAUGGGGAUGCGUUCCAUUAGGUUGUUGGUGAGGUAACGGCUCACCAAGCCUUCGAUGGAUAGGGGUUCUGAGAGGAAGGUCCCCCACAUUGGAACUGAGACACGGUCCAAACUCCUACGGGAGGCAGCAUG
rnacentral:rRNA from 1 species